GUUCUGAUCUGAAUGAGGGAAAUGGAUCUGCUCAGCCUUCUAGUCAUUCCUGCAACAUGUUACCCAUUUGGACUGGGUCUACAGGAAGGACAGAUACACCCUUCAAUCCUGGCUACUGGAGAAAUGAAAAAGCCUGCUGAGAGAGUACCCACACUGCAAGCUAACUGCGAAGCAAGUGGAAACGACUGGAAAGCAAUAACAAACAAUACAUGUGAAACUUUAUGUCAGGUAAAAUAUAAGGAUGCUUUCUAUUUAAAUGUCAAAAUUUAGACCUUUUUUAUUCUAUACACGUAUGGCAGGUGGAUUAAAAGACAACAGUCUUGUGAUUAAAUGCAUAUUUAUUUAUUCAACUAUAUUAUAAUAAGUCAAGCAUCUCUAAAAUAGAGUAGAUGCCUUUCACACUUUUACUUUAUGUUCAC
rnacentral:lncRNA from 1 species